rnacentral:rRNA from 1 species
AGACGUCUACAUUAGAUACCCGGGUAGUCCCAGCCGUAAACUAUGCGCGUUAGGUGUAUCGGUGACCACGAGUUACCGAGGUGCCGAAGGGAAACCGUGAAACGUGCCGCCUGGGAAGUACGGUCGCAAGGCUGAAACUUAAAGGAAUUGCGGGGAGCACCACAACAGGUGGAGCCUGCGGUUUAAUUGGACUCAACGCCGGGAAGCUCACCGGAUAGGACAGCAGAAUGAUUGCCGGGCUGAAGACCCUGCAUGACUAGCUG